UACAGGAGGGCAAGCGUUAUUCGGAAUUAUUGGGCGUAAAGGCGCGUAGGCGGCCUGGCAAGUGGAUGGUGAAAUCCUCGGCUUAAACCGGAGGAACUGCCAUCCAGACCGUGCUUGGCUUGAGACCGGGAGAGGUGAGUUGGAAUUCCCAGUGUAGCGGUGAAAUGCGUAGAUAUUGGAGGAACACCAGUGGCGAAGGCGGCUCGAC
rnacentral:rRNA from 1 species